UCUCUAAUUGUUCAAUGAGUACAAUCAUCUUCAGUACAUGUUGAUUCACUGGGGCUCCUUUCACCAUUUUGGUCUUCACAAGUUCACUGACAGUGCUAAAGCGACGAUUGCGCGUCCCUUCACCAUAUAACUCCGUAAGAUGGAGUAUGAUGGAGGAUGCACUGUCCAUACCCUCAUGCUAUCUCUGCAGCUCCUCAUUCAUGGAAGCCAACAGAUAGCACUUGGCUUGUGUAUCAUCCUCAACGUGCUUGUCAUACUUAGCACGUUCAUCCUCAGUGGCCUCAGGGCCAAGAGGUAUGUGAGGUGGAGCCUUGUCUAGUACGUAAACAAUUUUCUCCAAGGUUAGGAGAAUCUUGACAUUACGAUACCAAGAUGGGAAAUUGUGCCCCUCAAGGCAAUGCUUGUCGAGUAUCUUUGCAAGUGUGCUUCCAACCAUUUCUAAAUACAUAACAAUAAAAUAAAUUAGUUUGAUUGUUGAUUAAGUCAAACGAUUCGGGUCUUUAAACCGAAUGACACCACCCACUAUUUUUGGCAAAUUCCAUAUCCCUCAAGAUGGAAUCCGGGAGAUUUCAAUGAAAGCUCCUAGCGGGUUAUGGGAGGCUCACUAUUACCAAGCCCACCUCACGAUGAUACGAUGUCGGCUAGCAAAAAUAAUAAUGAGAGGGUAAAACUACUCAUUCACAACAACCUCUUGUGAUUACCCAUCUAAUUGGCCUAUAGAGAACAAUGCUUCACAAUGAUAUGAUGUUGGCACCAUUUCUCUUAGUUAAGUUUUGACCCACCAUGCCGGUUCGGAUAGGGGUCCAAGUAUGACCUCACGAUGUUACGAUGUCGGCCAUACUCGUUGCCUACCUUCACCACAUCAAAUGUUUGAAAUAGACUCCUCCUGUGUAUAAGCACAUACUUUGAACUCCCCCAUGAUAGGGUGAAGGCGGUGUAUGAGUCAUAAACGAUUGGAGCCUACCAUGGUGGAAGGCCACGAAGAAGUGUUCAAAAGCACCUCUCUGCUUUCAACUUAAUAUUGGAUGUUGGUUGAGGGAUUUUAAGGUCUCAUCAUUUUAUUUAUUUAAUCAAAUUAUAAUAAAUUGUGUCCUAUUACAACUACUAGUUCAAAGUAAAUGAAAUUAGUAGCAUAUGAUAUCUCCAUUAUUCGUUUUCGUAAAACAAAUCAAUAUCAAAACAAUUUUUCAAAAUAUUGGAGAUAUAUAUCACUACUAAUUGUGUUCAUUUUAGUUUAGUAGCGUAUGAUACUCCCACUAUUUGUUUUGAGAAAAACAAAUCAAUAUCAAAAAUCAAAAUUUUCAAAUAUUGGACGUAACUACUACUACUAAGGUUUUUGCAUUCCUUUAAAUUUGGACUUUAUAGUUAUCUUAGGCUCUUUGGAUGACUAUGGACUUAUUAACGAGCCAACAUUGUUGAAUAAGAUCUAGGAGGAAUGUAUCGUUUUAAUUACGCGCUUUCAAUCCAAUUAAAACAUUUUUCAUUGAGCCAUUAGAAACGAAAGACAAUCAUUCAUUGCUAAUUAGGGCAUUGGACCCAACAAAUCUUUAAUCUCAUGAAAACCCCUUUUAAUAUGUUUCCUUACCAAUAGUUAAAGAAACUCUAGUAUAGU
rnacentral:lncRNA from 1 species